rnacentral:rRNA from 1 species
UACGGAGGGGGCUAGCGUCGUUCGGAAUUACUGGGCGUAAAGGGCGCGUAGGCGGCCCUGCAAGUCAGGUGUGAAAGGCCCGGGCUCAACCCGGGGACUGCGCUUGAGACUGCGGGGCUUGGAGUCCGGGAGAGGAUGGUGGAAUUCCCAGUGUAUAGGUGAAAUUCGUAGAUAUUGGGAAGAACACCGGUGGCGAAGGCGGCCAUCUGGACCGGUACUGACGCUGAGGCACGAAAGCGUGGGGAGCGAACAGG